ensembl:lncRNA
CCUAACCCUAACCCUAACCCUCUAGGGGCUCCCUUACUAGACUAUAAAUCAUUUGAUGACAGGGAUUAGGUCUUAACUAUAUUCUGACUUCCCUUGUUCUAGGCAUAUAGUUUCACCUUAACUGUUUCUGGAAUUAAUUUUAAUCUUUUUUUUCUUGCAAUGUCGUGUAAUUAAAUGGCAUUCCUCACACUUACUUAAAGACCCAAAGCAACUUCAAAGACAAUCCAGGCCUUUUAGCAAGCAGUGAGAAAUAGAAUCAUUAUCAGAAACCUAAUGGAGGAGUUCCCGAUGUGGCUCAGUGGUUAAUGAAUCCGACUAGAAACCAUGAGGUUGCAGGUUCGAUCCCUGGCCUUGCUCAGUGGGUUAAGGAUCUGGCAUUGCCGUGAGCUGUGGUGUAGGUCACAGAUGCGGCUCAGAUCCCAAGUUGCUGUGGCUCUGGUGUGGGCUGGUGGCUACAGCUCCGAUUCGACCCCUAGCCUGGGAACCUCCAUAUGCUGCCAGAGCAGCUGUAGAAAAGGCAAAAAAAAAAAAGUAAUGGAAAUGAAUGGAAGAAAUGACAAUAAAAGCGAAGAGGGAGCACAAGUACACUGUUCAAGCUAAAACCCAAAGGAAGGUCAUGCUGCCAGGGUUAUUGUUCAGGCAAGGGUUCGUCUUAGUACCUGGUCAACCUUCAGACCAUCCUCGCAGGGAGCAGUUAGUGGAUGUUGUUGACUUUGUGUUUCUGUGCGGUACUGGAGUUCCUUUGAAGGCAGAGUGAAAAGUCAUGUUCAUGAUUACUUUCUCCUUUUCCUUAGGGUGUUAAAUACCACAUUAUUUGAAAGUUGGGAGAUUGUUGGACCUUACCCUUCCUGGUGGGUUUUUAACCUACUGCUGUUACUAAUACAAGGCUUGAACUGCUUCUGGUCUUACUUGAUCGUAAAAAUAGCUUGCAAAGCUAUUUCAAAAGGCAAGUCUGGGAAGUGGAACCCUUUACAUGUAUCCAAGGAUGAUCGAAGUGAUAUUGAGUCCAGCUCAGAUGAGGAGGACCCAGAACCGCCGGGGAAGAGCCCCCACACUGCGACCACCACCAAUGGAACCAGUGGUACCAACGGGUAUCUCCUCACUGGCCCUUGCUCCCUGGAUGAUUAAUUCCUACAAACCAGAAGUCCCAAACAAAGUGAACUGUUUAUUCCUGGAAGUCUUUACUAAGUUGCAAAUGCGGUUCCUUUCAUAGUAUCUCAGCACCAGAAACAAAAAUUAAGAUUAUCAAAGCAUUUUGAGUAGUGCACUGCCGUAUGUCCUGUCUGUGAAUGAAGAAGUCCCGUUCUCUAUGUGUAGGCAUGCUGUAUGUAACUGGCACAAGGGAACAGUAUUUGCAUUUGCACUGUCUUAGAAUAUUAUUUAUUUUUUGUAUUUGUUUGUAAGUCUGUGGACAAAAAAGGGUUUCCUCACUCCUUUUACUCUCUGGGUUCGUGACAGGGAAGGAGACGCUCCACCUGCUUCUACCCCUUUCUAAUGCUAUAACCCAAUCCGCCGGUCGCAUUGGCUUAAUUUGUCACUUAGAGCAAGCAAAAGUCAGUGCAAGGUUCUCGUACAGCUCCAAAUAGCUUUGCUUUGUUUGUGUUACAGUGCCCAUUUUGAACUGGCCUGUACAGUCUCAGUGACCCUUCUCCUGGUAUAAACUUUAAACAGGAUGAGCUCGCUUUUGUAAUUGUCACUCUUCUUGGGUCAAUUAGCUGUUCCAAUUCAAGAGUGUGGUUACUGGAGGACUUAAAAAUGUUUGUGCAUAUUAAAUUGCUGUGGAAUAGACUUGAUUUCUUGUGCACACAGCCAAGAUUUUUUCAAUGAGAAUGUAACUAGGUGGGGAUUAACUUUGCAGGUACAGGGAUUUUUUUUGUUUGUUUGUUUGUUUUUAAUUCUCUAUUAUGGGAUCAGUGCUCUGGCUCUAAAAGGAGAUUUUUACUUAAGGGCAUAGUUACAAAGAAAUCCCUCUUCUUACUGGGAAUCUGUCCCAGGACCUGAGAACAGCAUAAAGAGAGGAACAGAUUUCAACCAGAUUUGACCACCACCCCUGUCAUUAGCACAGUCUUCUGUCAUGUCGUGAAAAGAAAGGAGAAGCUAAGUGUAUUUGGGGACAGAAAAAGACUUUCUAAGAGUUGGCCAAAGUCAGUUCUGGCGCAAAGCACUUUAUUGCAAACAGCUUUCGAGAAAGUGCUCUAUCUUGUAUUUGAUCUGGAUGUUUUUUAUUUUUCUGAGCAAAAUAAAGCCAAUGGGAGAAAGACCAUUUUACCCUUUGUCUUUUCUCCUUAAACUUAACCCAUAACAUAACAGCAGUUCCUGUUACUAGAAACUGAGCAGUGUUACACUUUAAGUCCCUUUGUUUGCUUCUUUGGAGACCUGUUCAGUUUCCAGGAAUUUUUAUUCAAAUAGUGCUAGUUCUGGAAACACAAUAAAAAUUGUAUUCAGCAAUGAGAAAGAUAACUAAAAAGUUUAAGUUUUAGUCUCUUACAGGCCAGUGUUAUUUAUGAAUAGAAAAGGAAAUCAUACACAUAAACCAAAGAUUUUAUCUCUUUUCUCUCAACUUUUAGUAAGGGGAAUAAAAAGGUAUUAGAACUAUUUCAUAAAUCAGAAAGACCAUCAUCUAAAACAAGAGUCCCAAACCACAAUACAGUGAUAGCAAUGGAUGAGUCAGGGCUAGUGAAGGCACCAGAAAAAUACUAGGGAGUGUAUGUCCCGCUCAAAACCUUUCAUUCAAUUCAGUUUUUUUAAAAAAUGGGAAUAAAGCUUCAUGCCCACAGUGUGUAACCUGAGUGUUAAAAGUAUACUCCCGAACAAAAACCUUUCUCUGUAAUAUUAAAACUUCCCCCACUUAUUUACAAAACAGUAUGUUUCUGAUAUGGUCCAUAGUAAUAAUUAAAGAGACUUAGGAAUAUGUCUGCUUGUUUAUUGAGGAAAUAGUGUGACUACUUCUCCUUGUAAAGCCUUAUUAUUUCAUUUCUCAGAACAGGGAUGUGCCUAGGAGUGUGAUUUGUGGAUGGUUGAGUUUGUGGGACCGAUCCUUAAACAUCAGAAGUACUUUUAGUCAGCUGAACAUCUGCUAAAAUGUAGAUAUAUAAAAAGUGUCAGCAAGGAUGUUAUACCUAAACAUUUUUUCAGAAGGUGAAAGUUUCUUAUCAACCAAAAUAUGGGACAGAAGAGUGACUUCUGCCUCGCUUUAGCGUCUAGAGCAAGUCCGCUGAUGGGUGCAAUAAACCAGAGUCACAGUGUGUUCAGAUUUGAAUCAUCUGACACUCUUGAGCAGAGAAGAAUAAUUUCAGAAGCUCUGCUUGUAAAUUAAAGGUUUAGAAGCAUUGCAUGAAAUGAAGACAAUUAAGUCUAUCCUUAGCAAAGACAUCUGAACAAGCUUUUGUUUUUCCUAAAAGUCCCUUAGAAGGAGGAUUGAGAAUUCUCAGAGCCUCUCUGACCAAUGGCAGUACCUUAACACAGUCCUCUAUGUAUGUAUAGAUUUUUAUUUAACUUGACAUUUUAGUGCAAAGGUUCUUUUCAACUAGGCAAGAUGGCAUUUGUAGGCUUUUUAAGAUGAAGAAUUAAUAUAUCUUUGUCGACUGCUCUCCCAUGGUGGCCUGAUGAGGCUGAGAGAGAAAUAUAUGUGCCAGAUCCUGUCUUCUCCCUAUGCCAGGCCAUAGCUUUGGAAGUGUGUUUUGUAAGUUCAACUGUAGGUUAGUGAAAAUGUUGUUUCCCAUUAAUUAACUUAGCCCGUCCUGGUCACAAUCAACCCUUACCAAGGUACAAAGGGGUAGUAGGAGGGAAUCUAGAAGAAGUAACCUUUUAUUCACCAAUAUUAGAGCUUUUCUAGAUUGCUUGAGGGGGUGUAGAAAACCAAGUAGAAUUCGGCCUUGGGUCACUAAAUAAUAUAAAAAUGUGUGAUCUAUGUAGGUAUAUGUGUGUUUCUCAAAAAAAAAAAAAGUGAUAAAACCAAAAUAUCACCAACUCAUCCUUAUCCGUAUUCUUUUCAUCAAAACUAUCCGCCAUGUGUAAUAGAAACUUCCCGCCUCCCUGUCCACUUCCUGUUUGUGCUACCCACACAGUUGAGAGUGGUAGGCUCCUUUCAGUCUCUUGGCCUCAGAGCUAAGAUCAUGGAAGGCUUAACGUUAGCAUCUAAAUAGUUCCCAUUUCCAAAUUUAGUGGUGCAAAUAUUGAGAAAAAGGGAGCAACUAUAAGUAUUUUGGAUUAUUAAACUAAGUGCUUGGAAAAAAUCCAUAUGAUUGCUGCUUCACCCCAGGAUUUUAUUUAAUAUCCAACUCCCACCAGACUGUGAGAUAGAUGGCAUCCUAAGGUACCAUCAGGUAAUGAAACAGGCAUCUGACAAAGAUGAACUAGGAAGAGAGGUAGGCUCUUCAAGAAAAGCAAGCCAUUGGGUGAGAGGAAUAACUCUUUAGCAAGAUAAAAUAAGGUCACCGUUAGCCAAAAGGGUGGGUGAACCUCAAAAUGUCCAGUUCUGUUGCCAGACUUUCCAUUCUGAGUAUUUGGUAGAAUUUGAAUUGGAGUCAACUGAAUGCUUGCACCUUAGGUAGAAAUAGUCCAAAUCUUCCACUCUGUGUAUUUCAACCUCGUUGUUAUUUGGGCAUGAAAAUCAUAUUUCAUUCCAGCUUACCUGAGUCGUUACACAAGAGCUCUUCUGGGAGAACUUUAUGGACACCCAUGAUUGUUCCCAAUCUGGUCAUGGUUUUGCAUUGAUAGUUAUUUUUGUCCCCUUCUUGGAAAUAUUAAUGCCAAAGUUGCCUGAAUAUUUGAGUAUUUUCUCUUAAUCUGAAGAAUAAAAAAGUAUACAGAAUAAUUCCAAAGGUAUUAAAUAAUUUUCUUUGUCAGUAUGUGUGAUGAUGUCAUUAUGUCCAAAGAGGCUUGAAGAAAUCCUUUGGAAAUAGAGGUUAAAUGUUUACAUUUCACGUGCUAUUUGAAGUCUUAAGAUUCUAAUUAGUUUACCUUUUUUUUCUUUGUCUUUAGCUGGUUCCUCCUUUGUGGAUAAAUAGUAGUAGCCAUGAAAUGUAUCUCACGUUCAAAUAGAAAAAAAUCAAAUCAGAUCCAAGUGGCCUGACGGGAAAGUGAUAACAAGGCACUUUCAGCUUCUUAGUAACGUUUAUGGAGAAAGAAAAUGCAGUUAGCUCUAAAUACUGUACUUGCUGUCCAGCAUACUGUCCAUGGAAGGAAGACUCUUAAUCACAAACAGUUCAUGCAAAAUGCAACAAGCUAUUUUUUUAAAAUGAAGACAUCUUUGUCCCCAGAGUCGAUUUAAGUUUCUCUUGGUAAAAUGAAAUUGUGCCAUUCUCAGAUUACCAGAUAGUAGUUAGCACUGGUUCACUGUGGCCACAUUUUAACUCUUCAUCAGUACUAGGCUGGGAAAACACUCUGGUUUGCAUUCAUAUGCAUGGUCCCCUCCUCUCCCCUAGAGGGCGCUCAGUAGAUGCUGAGGAUGCCCGUCCACUCGCCCACUCUACGCUGUUGGAACUCCUCUAACAUAUACUCAGAGGAAGCCUAUCUGAGGCUGGGUUUUUUGGAGAAAAUUGUAUUAGAGAAAUAAACAUCAUAAGAAACUAUUAACAACAUCAGCAGGCACCCAAAGGAGAACCUUAGUCUUUCCAAUGUGAGUUCAACCAGAAGCCUUUGAAAAGGCAUGUUACCAAAUGGCCACAAGCUAAGACCCCAUCGGAUCAAAGAGAUGAAAGUCUCUGCAGGCAGAUGGCACCUGAUAUGGUAUCUCUUCAAGACUAAGCAUUCUCAAGAUGGCUCAGGAAGGAAUGGGAGGGGACCAUCAGGCUAAGGUCUCUCUUUCACUCAUAUUCCUUGAAGCCUCCUGGAACUCUUAAUAAAAGGAAGCCAGAAUAUUGUCACUUGUUGGCUGUUGAGUUGCCAGCAGCGUUUGUGUCACUUGUGUACCACACUUCCUUCUCUGCCUGAUUCCAUUUUUCUUAAAAAAUAUUGUGCCCCUGUGAGCCUAUUUCCUUGAACACAAAUCCAUGAAAGUUCGGCUUCCUAUUUUGGUAUAUGUUGCAUGGCCUGGCAACCAGGGAACAACAGCUGUUGGUGUAAUUUCUAUGUUAAGUGAAAAAUUAGAUUUUAUAGAGACAGUUUUUUUUUUCUUUUGGAUCUACAGUAAUUUUUUUAAACUGUCAUUGUGAAACUACCCUUAGAAAAUGAAGGGUUUUUAUAGAUUUGUUGCCAAAGGGAAGUUUGCUCUGUAAUAGGAACAGUUAUGUGGUGAUUCUGGAACUUUACCUUAGAGCUUCAUUCAUGUAAACAUGGAAAACACCCUCCAAGUUUGAUCUCCCAAAGUUUCAUAAAGCCUCUUAGCUCAUGAUUUUCAUCAAGUCUUUACCCACAUGAUCAGUUACCUCCAUAGCCAUUUGGUGUCAUGCUAGGGGGAAGGGGUUAGUUUGGGGAUUUGAUUUUUUUUUAACUUGCUGUGAGAAAUAGGAUAGGUGACAAAACCUUUCUUAUUUUCUUAAGACAAUUCAGUGCUUGAGCAUCUCUGUCAGAAAUGGAAUGAUGUACUGUUAGCCAAUUAGAAUUAUUUUAUGUAUUGUUAAUUGUGUUUUGCUGAUUUUUAUAUGAAAAUAUAAUUAUUCAUUCUUGAUCUCUGGAAGUAAUCAUUAUUAUGAGGAUCAUUUUACUUUGGAAACACUUUCAUAAUAAAGAUAAGUAUUAAGAG